rnacentral:RNase_P_RNA from 1 species
CGAGCCGACCGGGCGGCCGCGGUGCCGCGGGGCCACCCGCGGAUCGAGGAACGUCCGGGCUCCACAGAGCAGGGCGGUGGCUAACAGCCACCCGGGGUGACCCGCGGGACAGUGCCACAGAGAACAGACCGCCUGCCGGGUGACCGGCCGGUAAGGGUGAAACGGUGGGGUAAGAGCCCACCAGCGCCGCAGGCGACUGCGGCGGCUGGGUAAACCCCGCUCGGAGCAAGACCGCACAGCAGGCGCCCGAGGGCUGCUCGCCCGAGCCUGCGGGUAGGUCGCGUGAGCCCGCCGGCAACGGCGGGCCAAGAUGGAUGGUCGCCACCGCCACACCGGCAACGGUCGGCGGCAACAGAACCCGGCGUACAGGUCGGCUCGUCCG